CUGCCUCUGGUAAACCUUCAUUCUCUCUAACCUUCUGUCUCUGGAUUAGCACGCUGACUAGGGGAGUCUCCUGGCUGGCCUCUGCCUCCACUCCGCACAGCCACAGGAGUGACUGCUAGACCCGCAUUAGAUCAGCGCCUCCCUGCAACACACCUCCAUGGCUCCCCACUUACUGGCAACAAAUGCCCAGCUUUUUAUGAGAGGGCAGCCUCUCCUUCCCUCUCCAUGCUCAUGCCACGUUGCUCCCUUCCUUGCUCACUGUAUUCCAGCCACACAGGCCUUCUUUUUGUUCCUCUCAAAUAGACUUUCCUCUCAGCUUGAGGGCCUUGCCCUGCUGUGUUCUCUGCCAGAAACACUCCCUUUAACUUUAGAAGGCUGCCUCCUUUCCAAGCUUUCAAUUUCAUGUUGAACAUUUGUUCCUAGGGCUCCUUCCCCUCCUUUAACUACUGUUACCUUGCUUAUUUCCUUUAGGACUUUAACAAUUUUAACUUGGUUAUUUAUUUAUUUUUUCUGCUUUCUCAACUAGGAUGGUGAGCUCCAGGAAUCUAGCAACUUAGUCUUGGUCACGGCUCUGUUCCCAGUGCUCAUCUCAGUACGCGGCACAAGAUGGAAGACAAAAUAUAAGAGCAGAAACAAUAUGUAGUGGACAGAAGAGGAUGGGAAACCUUGGAAGGCACUGAAGGUCAGUUCCUGAGACCCACUGCAGGAAUUCAGAGUCAGCACGCACAGUGGGAUGCGCUCCGCCCAGGACACUGCUGCUUCAGUUAUUCAGCUCUAUACUUCUACUAGUUUUAACAGAAGAAAUCGUUUGUUUGCUGUGUAGAUUAAUUUGAGAUAAAUAUGGCCCCACCCCAAAAAGGGAGGGAGGGAGUGGGCUGAUAGGGACCCACGGAAGGUUCUCAGUACCCUAGAGUGAAGCUCUGAGCGGAGCUUUGCGCCACUACCUUAAUCACAACCCGAAGAGACAGAACACUAGCUAAACUUUAGGAUGACACAAAGCUGGGAAAGAAACUACAAUCCUUGGAACACAGAAAUAACAUUCAGGAAGGCCUUAAAGGGUGAAUUGAUCGCUUAGGUCUAACAAGAUAAAACUGAUGUCUAGAAAGGGUUCUGUAAAGCACGUGAUACGGAGACAUGGCCAAGCAACAGUACCAAGAAAGAAACUCGAAGGGCUUUCUGUUGACACUGAGCCCAAUCUGAGUGUUGGGAUAUGGCUGCUCCCCAAAAGCUGCUGAAUGACUAAGAAACUUUUCAGUGAAGUAUUUAGGACUAGGGUACAUGACACUUCAGGUCAACUCUACAGUGGUCAGACCACAAUGACAGAGUAUUUUAUUCAGUUCUGAGGGUCAAAAUUUAAGAGAUUGGACACAGAUUCACCUAGAUAGCACCUGGGAUUAAAACCAGGUCAUAAGGAAACUGGUUGGGGACUCAGGGAUGUUUGGCAGGAAGAAGCCAUAACAGAGUGUGAGGGGCAGGGCUAUGGCCAUCCUCAAGCAUUGGAUGGGCUAUUCUGUGGAGGCAGAACUGGACCGACUCCACUUAUUACAAAGAGUAGACCUGGGCAGAAGCUGUAGGGAAGGAGCUCUGGCUGAUCACAGGAGAAAGUCACAGUCAUUCCAGGGUGGAUGCUGAGGCUCCCCUGUCACAGGGUCUGCCUUGGAGGCCAAGGGUGGUUGCAAGGAAGAUGCAGGGACUAGCUGAGGUUCCACAACUGAUGCCAUAGCCUAGUCUCUUUCUAGCAAGACGGGGGCAGCAACUGCUUCCUUCCCCUCCUCCCCCAUCUUAUUCGAGGAAGGGGAAGGUUAAUUUUUUCACUUAAUUUUUUUCACAUUUCUUGUACUUAUUUCUCUGUUGUUCCAACUUCCCUAUUACUUUUUUCUCUGAACAUUUUUUAUAUUUACAAUAAUUUCAACUACGUGUAUUAUUGUAAGAAAUGCAGCAAAGUAAUUUAUAAAAAUAAAAUGAGUUACAUUUAGUAUUAA